GGGGGUGUAGCUCAGUUGGUAGAGCGCUUGCAUGGCAUGCAAGAGGUCAGCGGUUCGAUUCCGCUCACCUCCACCA
rnacentral:tRNA from 6 species